UACGUAGGGGGCGAGCGUUGUCCGGAUUUACUGGGCGUAAAGAGCGCGUAGGCGAAAAUUUAAGCGUGGCCUGAAAGCCCCCGGCUCAACCGGGGAGUGCGGCUGCGAACUGGGUUUCUUGAGGACGAUAGAGGAGAGUGGAAUUCCUGGUGUAGCGGUGAAAUGCGUAGAUGUCAGGAGGAACACCCGAGGCGAAGGCGGCUCUCUGGGUCGUACCUGACGCUGAGGCGCGAAAGCGUGGGGAGCGAACGGG
rnacentral:rRNA from 1 species